rnacentral:rRNA from 1 species
AUUGAACGCUGGCGGCAGGCCUAACACAUGCAAGUCGGGCGGAUGAAGGGAGCUUGCUCCUGGAUUCAGCGGCGGACGGGUGAGUAAUGCCUAGGAAUCUGCCUGGUCGUGGGGGAUAACGUCCGGACACGGGCGCUAAUACCGCAUACGUCCUGAGGGAGAAAGUGGGGGAUCUUCGGACCUCACGCUAUCAGAUGAGCCUAGGUCGGAUUAGCUAGUUGGUGGGGUAAAGGCCUACCAAGGCGACGAUCCGUAACUGGUCUGAGAGGGUGAUCAGUCACACUGGAACUGAGACACGGUCCAGACUCCUACGGGAGGCAGCAGUGGGGAAUAUUCGACAAUGGGCGAAAGCCUGAUCCAGCCAUGCCGCGUGUGUGAAGAAGGUCUUCGGAUUGUAAAGCACUUUAAGUUGGGAGGAAGGGCAGUAAGUUAAUACCUUGCUGUUUUGACGUUACCAACAGAAUAAGCACCGGCUAACUUCGUG